UACGUAGGGGGCUAGCGUUGUCCGGAAUCAUUGGGCGUAAAGCGCGUGUAGGCGGUCCGGUAAGUCCGCUGUGAAAGUCGGGGGCUCAACCCUCGGAUGCCGGUGGAUACUGUCGGGCUUGAGUACGGAAGAGGCGAGUGGAAUUCCUGGUGUAGCGGUGAAAUGCGGCAGAUAUCAAGGAGGAACACCAAUUGCGAAGGCAGCUCGCUGGGACGUUACUGACGCUGAGACGCGAAAGCGUGGGGAGCAAACAGG
rnacentral:rRNA from 1 species